rnacentral:rRNA from 1 species
GGCAACCCUGACGGAGCAACGCCGCGUGGGGGAGGAAUGUCUGUGGAUUGUAAACCCCUUUUCUCAGGGAAGAAGCUCUGACGGUACCUGAGGAAUCAGCAUCGGCUAACUCCGUGCCAGCAGCCGCGGUAAUACGGGGGAUGCAAGCGUUAUCCGGAAUUAUUGGGCGUAAAGCGUUCGUAGGCGGUUUUAUAAGUCUGCUGUCAAAGUGCGGAGCUCAACUCCGUAAGAGCAGUGGAAACUGGGAGACUUGAGUGUGGUAGGGGUAGAGGGAAUUCCCAGUGUAGCGGUGAAAUGCGUAGAUAUUGGGAAGAACACCGGUGGCGAAAGCGCUCUACUGGGCCAUAACUGACGCUGAGGGACGAAAGCUAGGGGAGCG